rnacentral:lncRNA from 1 species
CUUAUCACAAAGUAUGGGUUGGUGUGAAUUUUUCUCCAAUUAUUAGUGAGAGUAAAUUUUUAAACUAUAUUUAAUACACAUCUAAAUUUUAUUACAAAUUAUUCUCAAUAGAUCCCAAAUUUCAAAUAUAUCAUUAUAUUGUAAAAAUUAAUUUAAAAAAAUUGACAACCAUCCAACCGCACGUGUUUCAUACGUUCAUUUGUGAAAUAAAAAUUCAUUAAUAUUUUACUCCGAAAUAACAUAUUUUUCGCGAAGAUGUCUUCUUUCGUUCUCGCCAUAAAUGAUCGCAACGUUAGAGGUGGGGCUGGUCACAAGCAUUAUUGUACACCAUGUUUAAUUUGAGCCACCCAAAUUGCAAAAAGAAGCUCCAUGCGUUUCUCAAAAUCGAUGAAGGGCCACUUCCGUCACUCUGUGACUGUGUAGCUCGUCUGCAAGUUAGAUGCUUAGGGAAACGUAAAAUAUUGGGUCCCUCCAAGUGCAUUCCCAUCCGUGUGAUUCAAAUUCUCUCGUAAUUUAAUUCUUUCUAAGAUUUUUUUAGAUGAUUAUAAUGUUGCGGAAACGUGGGUUGAGCAAUUACUAAUACUGUAAUUUCUAAUAAAAUAUAAAUAUGGUGGUAAAUAAAUGUAAAUAAAAACACAAUGAUUUAUGUGGUUUGGUGUAAUGCAUACGUCUACGGGCAAAGACUGGAAGAUAAUUUUAUUAACAAUGAGACUUUACAAAAGUGGGAAAAACUCACAAAACCCACAACCCCAAUACACCCAAAUGAAACCUCACUAGAACACUCAAGUGGAAGCUCUCUUAAAUUCUCUCAAAGAACUCACUUGCAAUUGCUCUUUACUUCUCUCAAAUUGGGAUGAUUAACAAAUGAGGAAUUGCCUUCUAUUUAUAAAGAAAAAUGGGGUGCACUAUUGCACCAACCCCAACAAAAUUUUCAACAUAAAUUAGGCACCUACCUUAGGAAUUUAUCUUCAAAUUUGCUUCUCCAAAGUUGAAUGCAUGCAUGGCAACAACCUGUCAAAUAUUUGUGCCACCAACCUCCAAUUUGUCAAGAAAAAACCGUGUGGAAAAUAAGCUUUGUGGGCUGACUUUUCAACAAGAAAAUAGGUAAAAUUUAAUUUACUAUUACUUUUCCUUUCCAAAUACCAAACGAAAACGUUUAGUGGCUAAUUACUGCAAUCCUAAAAUUAAUAGAGUUUUAACGUGAGACUCAUUUGAGUUCUUUCUCUGCAUGUUUUAUGACCUCUUUCUUCUUCCCCAGCUUCUUCAAAACCUCAAAAACUUAAUUAGUUAAUUUGGUGACGAAGAAUUCACUAACUUUUUUGAGUAGUGGGGAUGAAAUUUGUAAAAUUUUGUCAUGUAGUUUCUGAAAAUUUCUAUUUUUUUUAUUUUUCGUUGUAUAAUAUAAAAAAGGAGAAAUUUAUAAAACUAACCGUAAUAAAUUACUAAAUUAGCACAUAUUUUUUUUCCUAUCAAACAUAACACCAUUUUUUUGGACGAUAAUUACCCUUGCAUUAGAAAUCACAAAAAUCAAGUGACGAUCUUGCUCCUUGAUGCGAUUUUGAUCGUCAGCAGCGUAGAUACAGCAACUACUGCCAAGUUAGCAGAGAUUUCGAUCAUCGGCGGCGAGAGGGAGAGUGAUAAACCAACAACACUGCGAUAUCAAACCAUAUCAAUUUAACCCCAUCCAAAAAAUCUAGGUUAGUUAAUUUUUCGUCUAUUAGAUCAUAUUUUAUGCUUUAUUUUGGUUGUUUGAAAUGAUUAGUGUUUGUAGUUGUUAUGCUGUGUUGGUUUAAGAAUGGUG